AGUGAACGCUGGCGGUAGGCCUAACACAUGCAAGUCGAACGGCAGCACAGUAAGAGCUUGCUCUUACGGGUGGCGAGUGGCGGACGGGUGAGGAAUACAUCGGAAUCUACUUUUUCGUGGGGGAUAACGUAGGGAAACUUACGCUAAUACCGCAUACGACCUACGGGUGAAAGCAGGGGAUCUUCGGACCUUGCGCGAUUGAAUGAGCCGAUGUCGGAUUAGCUAGUUGGCGGGGUAAAGGCCCACCAAGGCGACGAUCCGUAGCUGGUCUGAGAGAAUGAUCAGCCACCCUGGAACUGAGACACGGUCCAGACUCCUACGGGAGGCAGCAGUGGGGAAUAUUGGACAAUGGGCGCGAGCCUGAUCCAGCCAUACCGCGUGGGUGAAGAAGGCCUUCGGGUUGUAAAGCCCUUUUGUUGGGAAAGAAAAGCAGCAGGUUAAUACCCCGCUGUUCUGACGGUACCCAAAGAAUAAGCACCGGCUAACUUCGUG
rnacentral:rRNA from 1 species